GGGCCCGUAGUCUAGUGGCUAUGACGUCGCCUUUACACGGCGAAGGUCGCCGGUUCGAAUCCGGCCGGGCCCA
rnacentral:tRNA from 1 species